ensembl:lncRNA
ACCAGUGCAUGAAAUGCUAAAGUUAAGAAAGGAAGAAGAAAAGAAAGAAGAGUGAAAGAAGGAAAGAAGAAAGGAAAGAAGAAAGGAAAGAAGGAAAGAAGAGAGGAAGAAGGAAAGAAGAGAUAGAAGAGUGGAAGAAGGAAAGAAGAGUGAAGAAAGAAAAGAGGAGUAGAAGAAGGAAAGAAGAGUGGAAGAAGGAAAGAAGAAAGGAAAGGAGAGUGGAAGAAGGAAAGAAGAGUGGAAGAAGGAAAGAAGAAGAGUGGAAGAAGGAAAGAAUAA